rnacentral:lncRNA from 1 species
AUACAGGCACUCUGCAGGUUUUUGGAGGAAAAGGGGAAAUCUUAUCACCCGCUGAAAUAUUGGGAAAGUCAUGUGUAAAAUUCAGGUAUAUUACACAAGGUGCUGUAGUCGGAAAUUUCUCUAUUAUUUCACAUAAACUGAAUUCUGAUGGUAAAGUUACACGUUCUUUAGAAUGGAGCGAAACAUUUUUCAAUGAUAAAGAUGGAAUCUAUGAAGGACAAAUUCAGACUCAAGGAGGAAAUAUUUUCUUCAAAAUCAAAACAUAUUUAGAGUCUGGAAGCUUAUCUCUUGAUGACAUCACAGUAUCUAAAGGAGUCUGUCUUAAAUUGAAUUGUCCAGAAAAUACCUUUGUGUGUCCCGACAAGACCAAAUGUAUUCAUGAAAA